UACGUAGGGGGCAAGCGUUGUCCGGAAUCAUUGGGCGUAAAGAGCGUGUAGGCGGCCAGAUAAGUCCGCUGUGAAAUCUCGAGGCUCAACUUCGAGCUGUCGGUGGAAACUGUCUGGCUAGAGUCCGGAAGAGGAGAAUGGAAUUCCUGGUGUAGCGGUGAAAUGCGCAGAUAUCAGGAGGAACACCGGUGGCGAAGGCGGAUCUCUGGGCCUUACCUGACGCUCAGGUGCGAAAGCUAGGGGAGCGAACAGG
rnacentral:rRNA from 1 species